UGUCUGUCUGUAUGUGUGUCUCUGUGCACGUCCGGAGUCCAGCCCUAGCGGAUGAAUGCAUGCGCCCAGACGGGGCGGUCACUAUCCGUGUUCAUUCAGAACCGGCGCCGGCCGGCGAAAGCUGCCGCCAGCUAAUAUGUAAUUGCCUCGGUCGAUCGGCUUCGCGAAGGGGAAGUAGGGGCGUGUUAAGCUGGUGACCCUCGCUCAUGGGGAACGUACCCGUGACCGUCAAGGAAUGCCUGAGCGCCGGCUUGGACCUAGACUGGAUCUCGGCCGGGCACGUCUUGUCACAUGGGCGGCAGUUCCAGAACAGCGCUGAACCCACCCUUCCUGAGUUUGUAAAGAUUGUUGAGGUUGGGCCAAGGGAUGGACUACAGAAUGAGAAGGUGAUUGUUCCAACUGAAGUGAAAAUUAAACUGAUCGAUCUUCUGUCAGAAACGGGAUUGUCUGUUGUUGAGGCCACAAGCUUUGUAUCUUCAAAAUGGGUGCCCCAAAUGGCAGAUCACACAGAAGUAAUGCAAGGAAUAAAGAAGUCCCCACAAGUAUCCUACCCAGUCUUAACUCCAAAUCUCCAUGGGUUUCAGGCUGCUAUUGAAGCAGGGGCAAAAGAGGUGGCUGUCUUCGGAGCAGCCUCGGAAACAUUCAGUCGGAUGAACAUGAAUUGUUCCAUUGAGGAGAGCAUGCAGCGAUUUGAGGAGGUGAUCGGAGCUGCAAAGAAAGGCAACAUUCCUGUACGAGGGUAUGUGUCUUGUGCAGUUGGGUGUCCAUAUGAAGGAACCAUCGCCCCAGCAAAAGUUGCAGAGGUGGCAAAACGAAUGUACGAUAUAGGUUGCUAUGAAAUCUCUUUGGGGGACACCACGGGAAUAGGGACUCCUGGUGACAUGAAGGAAUUGCUUCAAGCAGUGAUGAAGGUGAUUCCUAAAACUGCGUUGGCGGUUCAUUGCCAUGACACUUACGGACAAGCUUUGGCCAAUGUCUAUGUGGCUUUACAGAUGGGAAUCAGUGUGGUGGACUGCUCUGUCGCUGGUCUUGGUGGCUGCCCUUACGCUGAUGGUGCUUCUGGCAAUGUCUCUACCGAGGAUGUCGUAUACAUGCUGACUGGUUUGGGGAUUCACACUGGGGUACGUCUUUGGAACAUGGGAGGAAACUGGAGCACCUGGAAGAAACCCAUGCAGUCAUGGGGAGAAUAUACAAGCUCUUUACGGACAGAGUUGGAAAUUAAACCCCGAUUGAUAAAAACCUGGCAUUGUAAAGCAAUGUGCUAACUGCUACACUGCCACGCUGUCUAAGAACCUGCUUACCACAAGUUACUCGUCACAGCUGGGAAAUUUGCAAGCCAUCACUGCUGUCUUUUAUCAUUAUAGGGAAUAGACUUGUACAAAUUAAUGGAAGCUGGUCACUUCAUUUGUGAAGUGCUCAACAGGAAGACCAACUCAAAAGUGGCUCAAGCUUGUUACAACCCUUGACAGAGAUCUUGGUGAUGCGCUGAAGAGAAUUCCUGUUGCAAGUACUUAAGCCAUAGUAUUUAAUGCUAUUACUAAAUUCAAUACUGCACUGGAGUCUUUCCAAUAAUGUAAUGUGCCAUAGUGCAAUACAUCACAACAUUGUAUUUCAUGAGGAUACUCAAAUGGAACAUGGGUAAUGAUAUAGUUUUUUUAAUGCCUGCAUCUAGCUUCUGUGAUACAACAUAGUUAUACAAGAGAUUCUGCCGAUGCUGAAAAUCUUGAGCAAAUGCACAGAAUGCUGGAGGAGCUCAUCAGGUCAGGCAGCAUCUAUGGUGAAGGGUCUCAGCUUGAAAUGUCAGCUCUCUAUUUCCUUCUGUUGAUGCUGUCUGACCUGCUGAAUUCUUCCAGCAUUUUGUGUAUGUUGCUUCUGAUAGUUCCGUUUAUCAAAUAUUUCUGGAGCAAAGGAACGAGACAAAGUCAAAUAGUUAAUGUCUUUAGUUAUGUGUCUGAGUCCUCUUGCAACGUGGCCCCAAAUACCUCAGCACCAUUGAGUAUAUCGUCAGGAGAUGGUGCAUCAAGCAGGUAGCAUUUAUCAUGAAGGACUCUCACCAGCCGGGACAUGCCCUCUUUUCAUUACUGCCAUCAGACCGUGAAGCAACCAGUCAGAAUAUUCUUCAUUGUGCACCUGUAGAAAUUUGUCAGAGUUUUAGAUGGUAUGCCUAAAAUGCGAAAACUUCGAAGUAAGCGGAGGAUGUGUCGUGCCUUCUUUGUGAUAGCACUUACGUACUGGUGCCAGGAUAUAUUCUCUGAUAUGAUAACGCCAAGGAAUUUAAAAUCACCCUCUCUAUCUCUGACACCACCUCAUUCUGGCUUCUUCCCUCUUUCCUUUCUGGUCCUGAUGAAGGGUCUCGGCUAGAAACAUCGACUAUUUAUUCCUCCUUGUAGAUGCUGCCUCAUCUGCUGAGUUCCUCCAGCAUUUUUUGUGAUUGUUACUCUGGAUUUGUAGCAUCAGCAGAAUCUCUUGUGUUUGGGACCUGCUCCCUGUUUUGGAAUAUUAUAUUCAUAGCCUGGGGAUCAUACAAAAUGCAAUGUUAAUAAUAUUAUUAACCAAAGCCCAUGCAAGUUAUUCUGCUGCUCAUUGUCCAAAAUACGUGAAUGAAGGUCUUUUUCUAUAUGUAUUGCCUAGAUGUGUACCAUCUAUUUUACUGCCUCAUUCUUGUUAUUCAUCUGACUCUCAGGGUAUUGUUUGAACACCUGUGCCAUGUAUGCAAUGUGUCUUAUUACUUGAUUAAUUUAUCCCACAAUGUAACAGAGAAGUUCCUGUGAGAUUAUUUUACAUCUAAGAUAGAAUCUGUGUUAUCUGUAGCAUUAAAGUUUUGAGCGUUAAUCUAUUUGACAUGAAAGCUUUAAACUUCAAAUGUUUGCAAUAUAUGAAAGAUCUCAGUUCGGUAAAUUGAAUGUGUUUGUGUCAUGUUGAGUAUGCAAAAUGUAUACUUUCUAUUAAAGAUCAACUUAAUUCAGUGGAAAAUUGGGUGAUGGUGACUACAGGUAUCCCCCGUUUUUCGAACGCUCGCUUUACGUCAACUCGCUGUUACGAAAGACCUGCAUUAGUUACCUGGUUUCGCUAACAGAAGGUGUUCUCACUGUUAUGAAAAAAGGCAGUGUGUGCCGA